AAGCAUAAAACUUAAUUUAAAGAUACCAGGUUUUCUUCUUCGUUUUAAUUUUUUUAAAUGUAAUU
rnacentral:tRNA from 1 species